UCUGUUAGCAGAUACUGGAGAGAACCA
rnacentral:piRNA from 1 species